rnacentral:rRNA from 1 species
GACGAACGCUGGCGGCGUGCCUAACACAUGCAAGUCGAACGGGACUGUUUUGAAAGAUUUCUUCGGAAUGAAUUUGAUUUAGUUUAGUGGCGGACGGGUGAGUAACGCGUGAGUAACCUGCCUUCAAGAGGGGGAUAACAUUCUGAAAAGAAUGCUAAUACCGCAUGAUAUAUCGGAAUCACAUGGUUUUGAUAUCAAAGAUUUUAUCGCUUGAAGAUGGACUCGCGUCCGAUUAGUUAGUUGGUGAGGUAACGGCUCACCAAGACCGCGAUCGGUAGCCGGACUGAGAGGUUGAACGGCCACAUUGGGACUGAGACACGGCCCAGACUCCUACGGGAGGCAGCAGUGGGGGAUAUUGCGCAAUGGGGGCAACCCUGACGCAGCAACGCCGCGUGAAGGAUGAAGGUUUUCGGAUUGUAAACUUCUUUUAUUAAGGACGAAAAAUGACGGUAC